AAAUAGUACAUGUCUUCUGCAUGUUUGAAAACAUAUCCAAACCCCACAGGUAGGAGCAUGAUGACAAUGUGCAGUAAAUGAGUCUCCAUGGUGAUGUUCUAUAAAGUACACACAGAAUCCUCACUUAAGGCAGUCUGCACCACUUUACAAUUGCACACGCCAUGUUGGUAAGCUGCAUGCAACAUGUUCACUAGUAGCACACGCAGGUUUAUAGAUUGCACACGUUAUUCAGCCCGUGGUAUUUGAAUCUUAGUAAAUCAGGCUCUAAGUCUACUUUGUGUGCUAUUUCCAAGUAUACCCCACCCUGAGUGAGACGCUGCAAAAGCGAUGGGGUGACGCAGAGCAGGCUCGGUAUGAAGGUCUUAUCACUGAGCAAGGAUAUGGAAAUCUCCUAAGGGAUAUAUUUGAAGAUGCCGGGUUCCUGAAGAGUCACAAAGUAAAAGUAAAGUUACCCGAGGCUGCUGUUCAAUGGGAAACACACAGCUCUUUAGAGAAAUGUAAUGAGGACUUCCAAAAACAGCAAGAAGAGAUUGAGAGACUGCGAGCCCUCCUCACUCAUCACAAUAUUCCCUUCCAUUCACAAACAGAUGGAACAAAAGCGGCCGGGACCACAACUAUGCUGCAACAUUUACGAGGGGAUGCCGGCUGAAAGUUUUUUCCCCUCUUGGGCGCGCUGAUAAAGAAACGGGGACAUGAUGGAAUCAACAUUAAUUUCCCAAAUCAGGGAUACAUUGUUAAAAAAACCUCUUAUUUAUUUAAAAAAUCUUUUGAUAAAAAAAAACAACUUGUAAUUUAAUUAAAAAGACACCUACAGCUCAAUUUCUUUCCUUUGGAAUGUUUAAAAACCCUGAAAUGGGCCAAAAACACACCUAUACUUCAUUACAUUAAAUAUGUAUUAUUGACAGUGAAAUUAUUAGUAUAACUAAAAGAAACAA